GAUGAACGCUAGCGGCAGGCCUAACACAUGCAAGUCGAGGGGUAGAGUUCUUCGGGACUUGAGACCGGCGCACGGGUGCGUAACGCGUAUGCAAUCUACCUUAUACAGGGGAAUAGCCCAGAGAAAUUUGGAUUAAUGCCCCAUAGUGUUAUCGAAUCGCAUGGUUUGAUAACUAAAGUUCCAACGGUAUAAGAUGAGCAUGCGUCCAUUAGUUAGUUGGUAAGGUAACGGCUUACCAAGACAAUGAUGGGUAGGGGUCCUGAGAGGGAGAUCCCCCACACUGGUACUGAGACACGGACCAGACUCCUACGGGAGGCAGCAGUGAGGAAUAUUGGUCAAUGGGCGCAAGCCUGAACCAGCCAUGCCGCGUGCAGGAAGACGGUCCUAUGGAUUGUAAACUGCUUUUAUACAGGAAGAAACCCUCCACGUGUGGGANCUUGACGGUACUGUAGGAAUAAGGAUCGGCUAACUCCGUG
rnacentral:rRNA from 1 species